rnacentral:lncRNA from 1 species
CAUUCAUAUAUUUGUUUAUUGCAGCAUAUUAAAGACAACACAGUUGCAUGUGUCUACUAAUCUUGUCAUUUUAUAGAUUUUAAUAACAUUUUUAUUUUAAUAACCUGUAUUCACCGAACAACCGUCACUGAAUGAUGAAAUUAUAACUAUUUUGUAACAAAUAAAGUUUCAGUAUACAUUUAGAAGUAUUAUAAAUGGGUCAAAUAUAGACCUGGGCCUUAUGGCAUAAAGUCCUGGUAACCUAAUGAUCUGUAACUGUUUAACAGCAAUGGAGCUCAUUUGGAAAGAAUCAAGUGUGGUGUAACUACACAUAAUGUAACAUCAUUACUUCAAUAGGCCACUAACAUUUAUAGCAACAUAACCCUGCAUUCUACUUAUAACACAUCUGUAAAAUUAAGUUAACCCUUCAGUAUUGCUGUCACCCAGAGGUCUCACUGUGCUAUAAGUCAAAGUGAAUCCAGUGAUGAAAAAAAUCACAAUGCGCAGCACAACACAUCUUCUGUAUUAAAUUCAAAUUCUGUUCAUCUCAAGUAUCAGCCCUGCUGUAAGCGGAAUUGUGCUUUCAUGUAGGUGGGUAACAGACUAUGUAAGGGAUGUAAAGUAUGUGUGGAUCAGAAGAAAAAUUAUUUGUGAUUGACUGUGUUUGACCAGAACCAAACCCGUACCAAGUGUGGCUUUUAUGUUACCUGAGUCACAUUCAGUACGAACAAAUGGGAGAAAGCGUUUUUGAAAACAAGAACGAGCAUACUUGUAGGACUAGCCCAGGUUUUACCGCCUCCGUUUCUAAACACAGUCUUCCAUUUUGUUCCAACUGAAAGCAGCCCUGUUCAUGGCUUGUUUCUGAGCGUCAGACAAAUCCUCCAAACCUGCUUUGCCAUUCCCACACACUCUGUGGUACAGUAUACUGCAUCCGGGCUGUAACAUUCCCACAUACUCUGUGGUACAGUAUACUGCAUCCAGGCUGUAACAUUCCCACACACUCUGUGGUACAGUAUACUGCAUCCGGGCUGUAACAUUCCCACACACUCUGUGGUACAGUAUACUGCAUCCGGGCUGUAACAUUCCCACAUACUCUGUGGUACAGUAUACUGCAUCCAGGCUGUAACAUUCCCACACACUCUGUGGUACAGUAUACUGCAUCCGGGCUGUAACAUUCCCACAUACUCUGUGGUACAGUAUACUGCAUCCAGGCUGUAACAUUCCCACACACUCUGUGGUACAGUAUACUGCAUCCAGGCUGUAACAUUCCCACACACUCUGUGGUACAGUAUACUGCAUCCGGGCUGUAACAUUCCCACAUACUCUGUGGUACAGUAUACUGCAUCCGGGCUGUAACAUUCCCACACACUCUGUGGUACAGUAUACUGCAUCCAGGCUGUAACAUUCCCACAAUGAGUAAUAGUACAAGAAUGGUGCAGUAAUAGUAAAGGCCACUCUUAAAGUUAAGGACCACAGGCAGUUGUCAUUAAUGGCCUAACUUGAUUGGAUGCAUAAAUAUCAAAACCUUUGGUCCAUAAUCCUGGAUUUUAUACAGCAAAGCAGCGCUUAGGUAAAUACCUGCUCAAGAAUGUCAUUCUAACAUGACUAAACUAGUUUAGUUGCCAGCAUACAAUAGACAAAUUUGGCAGUUUAAU